AUUUAUUUAGUAUAAUAGUAUAAUUGACUUCCAAUCAACAGGACUGGACAACCAGAAUAAAUA
rnacentral:tRNA from 1 species